GGUUAUGGGGAGGGGGACCAGGUGGGAGUGUGGGAAGAGGGAAUGGAGGGAAAGAGGAAAGGAAGGAGAGAGGGUAAUGGAAAGAGAACAAGAAUCAGAGAGAGGUAGACAAAGAUGGAGUGAGAGAAAUAGGCUGGAGAACAAGCUGGACAGCCAUCAGGGCUCCCUCCUCCCCUCUCUGUAUCCCUGUCUCUCUUGUUUUUCUCUGUAGCCCAAACUGGUUCUUCCCCUUGGAGCUCCUACCUCCCCCAGGGACAUGGGGGUACAGUGCUUUGAAUAAGCAGGAAUGCUUGAUUCAGGGGGAGGGUGCUGGAGCCAGAAGGGUCUAAGGUCCUAAAGUUGGAGAUAAAAUUGAGGCUUGCCUGAAAGCCUGGAAGCAUGAGAAGUGGGAAUUAUGAAGGUGAAACGGUUAUUAUAGAAUAAAAAGAAAAUACAGUUUAGGCACAACAUUCUUGAUACUAAUGAGAAAUAGUCACAGACUAGCAAAUACCCAGAUGUUCGUUUUCACUAAAUCUAGCUUAAAACAGUAUUUUCCAUUAAUGUCGUGAAAACCUAGAUAUUAAACCAAAUCUCUCCAUAUUUAAUAAAGAAGUCUCUAUGACACAGCUCUAUUAUGUUGCACUUGGAGACAGGAUUGUCUAGGUCAGUGCUACUCAAAGUGUGGUCUGAGGACCAGUAGCAUUGGCAUUGCCGGGGAGCUUGUUAGAUACACAAAUUCUCCAGCCCAAAGUCAGCAACUACUUUGGAUUAGGACCCAGGAUGCUGUGUUUUAAAAAUUCUCCGAGGUGUUUUCAUGCACACUCAUGUUUGAGGAGCACUGGAGUUGACACACUGCAACCAGGUACAACUCCUCAGAUGGCGGGUCACACCCUGGGAGCUGGUGGAAUCCCAGGUGAUCCAACACUAAUUUAUCCGUGGCAAGUAUUAUGGGAUGGGAAAAUAAGGGACAGACUGAUAGUCAUGGGGAGUGUGACCUGCUUAAAAAGCUUUGGAUACAGGGGAGUAUCCCUUUUACCUUCCAGGUCAUCAAUGGUCUUCUCCAACUUUGCCACAGACCUCUCGGCAAACUCUGCUCGGGUCUCAGCCUGGGAGUUGAGGUAAGACGGGAGAAUGACAAAGAUUAGGCCUCCCAGAUACUUUCACUUAAGUCAACCUCCUCUUCCAUCCCUUUUUCCAAAGUCCCUGCCACAGGCUGUCUCUGGAGGGGAUGGGGGACUUGAGGGGACAGUGGGGACUGGAAGGACUCUCACCUCUUUUACUUUAUUAUUAUUUUUAAGUUUAUUUAUUUAUUUUGAGACAGAGAGAGAGAGAGAGAGAGAGCAUGUGUGCACUCGAGUGAGCAGGGGAGGGGAAGAGAGAGAGAGAGGGAGAGAGAAAAUCCCAACCAGGCUCCACGUUGUCAGCAUGGAGCCCGACACCAACUGCGAGAUCGUGGCCUGAGCCAAAAUCAAGAGUCGGAUGCUCAACCGACUGAGUUACCAGGUGCCCUAAGACUCUCACCUCUUUUAGCUUCUCCUCCAGCAGUUUGAUCUCCUCUUCAUAUUUAUCUUCUUUGGUGGAAUACUUUUAGGGACAUAUACACGCCAUUAGUAGAUCGCCUCCACAAAUCCUUCGCUCCACCGAGUCCACAGGCUGCUCCUGAUCUUGUCUCCAGGGAACACCCAGCCCCUCCCUGCCUGGGCCCAUCGCCUCCCUCCCCUGCAGGACCCCAUCCUCACUGCCCCUCUACCCCCCUCUACCUUGUCCGCUUGGGCUUCCAGGGAUUUCAAGUUGUUGGUAACAAUUUUCAGCUCUUCCUCUAGGUCCCCACAUUUACUGCAGGGGGUGUGUGGCAGGGGGAGGGUGUGAGGGCAUAGUGUGGGAGACAGUGAAGACGGCACAGUUGGGGAAGGGGUGGAGGAGAGAAGAGAAGAGCAAAGUUGUGAGAGUGACAGUGAGCAGAACUUGAAGGCCCCAGGCUCUUCCCGACCCCCAGCAGGUGAGAGCACAGCCUGAGAUCAGGGGAAAGGUGAGCUGAGAGAAGGCACCAUUGCCCAGAAAGGUCCAGAGAGGUCACUACCUCCUCCUCUGAGGCCAUCAGGGACUUGAGGGCCUGGUCCAUGGUUCGGAGCUCCUCCUCCAGCUGCCUGGCUCGGCUGGGGGCAGCAGUUAGGAGUCAGAGGACAGGACCUGUCCCUAUGGCCCCAAGCCUGGGAAACUGCCUCCCACUGUCCAGAGUGCCCCUCAGCCACGGGACCAGGCUGAGUUUCACUUGCCGCCCAGGGUACCCUUACCUCUCAGCCACCUCGGCUCUUUCUUCUGAGCGCUCCAGCUCUCCUUCCAGGAUCACCAGCUUCCUGGCCACCUGGGGGAUGAGGGAGAGAAGCAGCAGAGCCUGGGUCUUUCUGUACCCACUGAAAGCAGUAUAAGUGCUGGGACCAGGUCAGAGGAGCUGGGAUUCCUCCACAGCAAAGCCUGGCCCAGCUCUUUCCAGUUAUGGAUGCUGCUCUCCAACCACAGGACAGGCACUACUGUCCCCACUGGAUAAAUGUGAAGAGAGAAAGGAGAAACUGAGGCACCAUAGAGAGAGCACGAGCCGGGAGAGGGGCAGAGGGAGAGAGAGACUCUUAAGCCUGCU